rnacentral:rRNA from 1 species
CAGUGGCGGACGGGUGAGUAACGCGUAGGAAUCUAUCCUUGAAUGGGGGACAACCGUGGGAAACUACGGCUAAUACCGCAUGAUCCCUGAGGGGCAAAGGCGAAAGUCGCCUGAGGAGGAGCCUGCGUCUGAUUAGCUUGUUGGUGGGUAAAGGCCUACCAAGGCGACGAUCAGUAGCUGGUCUGAGAGGAUGAUCAGCCACACUGGGACUGAGACACGGCCCAGACUCCUACGGGAGGCAGCAGUGGGGAAUAUUGGACAAUGGGCGCAAGCCUGAUCCAGCAAUGCCGCGUGGGUGAAGAAGGUCUUCGGAUUGUAAAGCCCUUUUGGCAGGGACGAUGAUGACGGUACCUGCAGAAUAAGCCCCGGCUAACUUCGUG